GCAAUAAUAUCACGUUGAAUAACCUGUUCUCUUACUAGCACCAAAGUUAAGCAAUGUCGUGCCUGGUCAGUACCUAGAUGGGUGACUACUCGGGAAUACCUAGUGCUGUAAG